AGUGAACGCUGGCGGUAGGCCUAACACAUGCAAGUCGAACGGCAGCACAGUAAGAGCUUGCUCUUACGGGUGGCGAGUGGCGGACGGGUGAGGAAUACAUCGGAAUCUACUUUUUCGUAGGGGAUAACGUAGGGAAACUUACGCUAAUACCGCAUAUGACCUACGGGUGAAAGCAGGGGAUCUUCGGACCUUGCGCGAUUGAAUGAGCCGAUGUCGGAUUAGCUAGUUGGCGGGGUAAAGGCCCACCAAGGCGACGAUCCGUAGCUGGUCUGAGAGGAUGAUCAGCCACACUGGAACUGAGACACGGUCCAGACUCCUACGGGAGGCAGCAGUGGGGAAUAUUGGACAAUGGGCGCAAGCCUGAUCCAGCCAUACCGCGUGGGUGAAGAAGGCCUUCGGGUUGUAAAGCCCUUUUGUUGGGAAAGAAAAGCAGCAGGUUAAUACCCCGCUGUCCUGACGGUACCCAAAGAAUAAGCACCGGCUAACUUCGUG
rnacentral:rRNA from 1 species